rnacentral:rRNA from 1 species
UACGUAGGGUGCAAGCGUUGUCCGGAAUUAUUGGGCGUAAAGAGCUCGUAGGCGGUUUGUUGCGUCGGCUGUGAAAUCCCGAGGCUCAACCUCGGGUCUGCAGUCGAUACGAGCAAACUAGAGUGUUGCAGGGGAGACUGGAAUUCCUGGUGUAGCGGUGAAAUGCGCAGAUAUCAGGAGGAACACCGGUGGCGAAGGCGGGUCUCUGGGCCGGUACUGACGCUGAGGAGCGAAAGCGUGGGGAGCAAACAGG